rnacentral:rRNA from 1 species
AACGAACGCUGGCGGCAGGCUUAACACAUGCAAGUCGAACGCCCCGCAAGGGGAGUGGCAGACGGGUGAGUAACGCGUGGGGAUGUGCCUUGAGGUGGGGAAUAACUGUGGGAAACUACAGCUAAUACCGCAUACGCCCUUUUGGGGAAAGAUUUAUCGCCUUUAGAGCAACCCGCGUCAGAUUAGCUAGUUGGUAGGGUAAUGGCCUACCAAGGCGACGAUCUGUAGCUGGUCUGAGAGGAUGACCAGCCACACUGGGACUGAGACACGGCCCAGACUCCUACGGGAGGCAGCAGUGGGGAAUAUUGGACAAUGGGCGCAAGCCUGAUCCAGCCAUGCCGCGUGAGUGAAGAAGGCCCUCGGGUUGUAAAGCUCUUUUGUUGGGAAAGAAAACUUAUCGGUUAAUACCCGGUGAGAAUGACGGUACCCAAAGAAUAAGCACCGGCUAACUUCGU